rnacentral:tRNA from 1 species
CAUUUUAAGGUGUGACGGUUAGCACUCUGGACUCUGAAUUCAGCGAUCUGAGUUCAAAUCUCAGUAGAACCU